GAUGAACGCUGGCGGCGUGCUUAACACAUGCAAGUCGAACGAAGCAUUUGCGACAGAUUUCUUCGGAUUGAAGUUGCUUAUGACUGAGUGGCGGACGGGUGAGUAACGCGUGGGUAACCUGCCUCAUACAGGGGGAUAGCAGCUGGAAACGGCUGGUAAUACCGCAUAAGCGCACAGUACCACAUGGUACAGUGUGAAAACCUCCGGUGGUAUGAGAUGGACCCGCGUCUGAUUAGCUAGUUGGUGAGGUAACGGCCCACCAAGGCGACGAUCAGUGGCCGACCUGAGAGGGUGACCUGCCACAUUGGGACUGAGACACGGCCCAGACUCCUACGGGAGGCAGCAGUGGGGAAUAUUGCACAAUGGAGGAAACUCUGAUGCAGCGACGCCGCGUGAGUGAAGAAGUAGUUCGCUAUGUAAAGCUCUAUCAGCAGGGAAGAUAGUGACGGUACCUGACUAAGAAGCUCCGGCUAAAUACGUGCCAGCCGCCGCCGUAA
rnacentral:rRNA from 1 species